rnacentral:lncRNA from 1 species
CUAUAGGUGGAUCCGGUUGACAUAUUAUUUUGCAUGAGUUACUUAUAUGAUUUGAUGAGAUAUAUAUUUUGGCAUGGCAUAUAAUUCACAUAUCACUACUCCUGAGUAUGGUUUUGAGACAAGUAUACGUAUUACAUAUUUCUGGGAAAGUAUAUGGGUUUUACAGCGAGGGGUUAGCGUUUUGAUAAUGAGAUGAUUUUCGCAAAGCUUUGUUUCACUGACCCACUCAACUUUGUUUUGCGCCCCUCUAGGUUCAAGAUAGCAGAGCUUUGGUGGCCACGAGGAAUCCAACGGUGUUCUGACAGAAUUCACAAAAGUAGGAUUUACCCUCGGGUGUUACAUCUCAGUAAUUGUAUCUUUAAAGCUUCCGAACUGUGUAAAUGGUUACGUCACUCUCACGUGACGGCCAACAUGCCCUCCUUCGGGACGGGGUGUGUCAAAAAAGGCAUGAAACAAAAUGACAUAUGAAAACCCUAUCUAUUAAUUGACAUUAUCAACUUACUAUGGUAAGUUUUUUAGCAUGAAAAUAUAAUCAAAGAAUGUGUGGGGAUUUCCUAAAAUAUUCUAAUAACGUUAAGUUGAUAUCAAAUUUUCUAAAUUAAACAACCUAUCAUUACCACUUUUGCAUCAGUUAGGAGAUAAUAUUGGAAAUUUCAACUCAAAGAAAAAUAUAUAUAAUAAGAAUAGAUGGUGAUCAAUGUCAUAGUCGAUACUUACACAAUGCACACACAAUUUUUCUUUAAUAGUGUGCAGUUUGUGGAUGCAAAUUUUCUCCUCCUCGAUCUUGGACGAUUUUGCACCUACAACAAAACAACUAGCACCUUAGGUUAAGGCCAAAAAGCCUCACACGCCCACGAUGAAUGGGGGGGGGGCUUUGGCCGAAUAACCUCCGAUGCCAAAGUUAGAAUUUUAGAAAGAAAUAGUGUUUAGAGUAUUUGAGAUUUUUUGUAAGAGAAUUGGAAUUGGUGUUUGGUGAAAAUGGGAACCAAUUUAUAAGAGAGGAAGGGGUGGCCGGCCUUUAAGCCAAGGAUGAUUUAUUUUGGGGGGUUAUGGAGAUAAUGGGCUAGUUAUUUUGGGGAGUUAUGGAAAUAAUUGGCCAGUUAAUUAGCAAAUAAUAAUAACCUAAUUAACUAGCUAUUUGAAUGUCAUAAAAGGGAAAGAGAAUGGUAGCAAAAAGCAAAAAAUAAAAGGCAUGGCCGGCCCUAGUGGGUAACCGGCCUUUGGUAUGUUUUUUGGUUAUAAUUUGGUGGUUUGAUUGAUAAUUAAAGGAUUGAUUAGGUAAUUAAUCCCUUAAUUAGUCAAUUUUAGGAAAUAUGAAAGGAAUAUAUUAUUUAGCUAAUUUAUUAGCUAAAUAAUGGAAUAUAAAACAUAUAGAAUAAAUUAGAUUUUGGGGAUUACCUUAUAGAAAGGAUUUGAUGAAAUAGGCUUUAAAUUGUUACCUAUUUUGGGCACUUUUGACUUGAUUGAAAGAUGAUUGCCCGCUGCUUGGGCGUAGGAAUCCCGGUAUGCUUCAAGGGUAUUUUUGUCCUAUUUUGUCCAAAAGUCCACGUGUCGCCUAGUGAAUAUUUUUGGCUCCAUAAAUGCCCCCACACCUGUUGGGCUGCUUGCAGGAAAAAAGGCAACAGAUGUAGAGAUUUUCUCGCUUUAGGAAACUCUGAAUUGCUUCCUAUUUUGUUGUUGAUUCUCUCUUUUAAUAGGAAAUUAAAUCCUUCUAGGAAAAGGAAAUAAAUUUCCCCAAAGCUUAUUUAAGUCCACCUUAAGUGGAUUAUUAAAUCAACUUUUAGAGAGAAACUUGUUCAACCUUACAAGAGAGAAAGAGAGCUUAGAGGAUAUUUGUUCCCCCUUCUCUAGCAAUUUUCUACGUCUUGCCCGUGUAAAGGAUCAUCUUUCAUUGCGUGCUUCGUCUUCUCAUUGUUUCUAGGUAAGAAAAAAUAAAUUUUUAUGUCUUCAAAAUUUUCUUGGAAGU